rnacentral:rRNA from 1 species
GACGAACGCUGGCGGCGUGCUUAACACAUGCAAGUCGAACGAAGAGCGACGGAAGCUUGCUUCUAUCAAUCUUAGUGGCGAACGGGUGAGUAACGCGUAAUCAACCUGCCCUUCAGAGGGGGACAACAGUUGGAAACGACUGCUAAUACCGCAUACGAUCUAACCUCGGCAUCGAGGAUAGAUGAAAGGUGGCCUCUACAUGUAAGCUAUCACUGAAGGAGGGGAUUGCGUCUGAUUAGCUAGUUGGAGGGGUAACGGCCCACCAAGGCGAUGAUCAGUAGCCGGUCUGAGAGGAUGAACGGCCACAUUGGGACUGAGACACGGCCCAGACCCCUACGGGAGGCAGCAGUGGGGAAUCUUCCGCAAUGGACGAAAGUCUGACGGAGCAACGCCGCGUGAGUGAUGACGGCCUUCGGGUUGUAAAGCUCUGUUAAUCGGGACGAAAGGCCUUCUUGCGAAUAGUGAGAAGGAUUGACGGUACCGGAAUAGAAAGCCACGGCUAACUACGUG